rnacentral:rRNA from 1 species
GAUGAACGCUAGCGGGAGGCUUAACACAUGCAAGUCGAGGGGUAAAUGGUAGCAAUACUAUGAGACCGGCGGACGGGUGCGUAACGCGUAUGCAACAUACCUUGUGCAGGGGGAUAGCCCGUGGAAACGCGGAUUAAUAUUCCAUAGUCCAGCUAUAUCGCAUGGUAUAGUUGGUAAAGAUUUAUCGGCACAAGUUUGGCAUGCGCCUGAUUAGCUUGUUGGUAGGGUAACGGCCUACCAAGGCUACGAUCAGUAGGGGUUCUGAGAGGAUUAACCCCCACACUGGUACUGAGACACGGACCAGACUCCUACGGGAGGCAGCAGUGAGGAAUAUUGGUCAAUGGGCGGAAGCCUGAACCAGCCAUCCCGCGUGAAGGAAGACAGCCUUACGGGUUGUAAACUUCUUUUCUGUCAGAAGAAUAAGCUUGUCGAGACGAGUGAUGCCGGUAUGACAGGAAUAAGCAUCGGCUAACUCCGUGCCAGCAGCCGCGGU